AAGGCUUGGAAAAGCCUUGGCUCAUUUUCUUGUUUGUCCCACAUUGCUUGUGGGAGGGAGUUUUCUCAUGUUUAUAUACUUCCUCCCUCCUUCCAUCUAUUGAGUUGUGACUAGAGAUGCUUUUGUGGUUGGAUGAUAUGUUGGGUUUGGGGUUGCUAUCACACGCGCGCCGCCCGGACCGAGCCAGGGCCAUGGGCUUUGGGCUUUGGGGAAUAAACUUAACUUAACUAAAGUUUUGGACCCGGGAGCUACGCGUAUGUGGCCGUUGGAAUUCUGUAACGUUUUACCGUUACAGUAUUCAUGGCAAUCCCUAAUUAUCCGCCCAUUGAUUUCUGUCUCCGUUUUUUGGCUUGAUUCUUCCCUAUAAAAUCAGAGCCAUUCUGUUCAGUCAGAGAUACACAAAAACAACAAACACUCUUCUCUCUUCUCUUCUCUUCUCUCUUCCUGGGUUUUCGUGCUAUUCUCUAAAGCUUAGUUUGCUAGUGGUGGCAUUCUGAGCUACUGUGUUAACCUUGGGGAGCAUUCCGGCCAAGAUCGAUAACCACCAGUGUCGGGCCGUAAUCGCUUUCAAGUCAGUGAUCUCCUAUCACGGCACAGUAUUUGAAAGCUUAUUUUCUGCCUUUGCGAACCGAUUAUUCCAACAGUUUUAAAUGCAACAAAUGAAUACACGUUUUAAUAAGGCUGACAAGUAACAAGCUGGCUGACUCGGUCUUGAGUAAUUCUUCCUCUAUGCAGGCUGAUCAAAAAGUAGUUAAGAAGCGGAAAACUGAACUUGGGGGAGCAUUCACAAUAGCUAGUUGGAUACUUUUCAUCGGUCUGCUUGUUGCGUGAGUAUAUAUAUCUACCUCUUUUCUUUCAGCACUAUAUCCACUACAAUAUCUCAUCAUUCCUACGUGGUUGCAUUUGGGAUAUGUACUUCGUCUGUUUUAAAUGCAAACAAAUGAAUAUCUUAUAUCUCACAAAUAAUACUCAUUUGUUGCAUUUAAAACGAAUCGGAUAAAGUAUAAGAAAUUGAGUUGAGUAGGGUCAAUAUAAACAUAAUAUACCAAAUGAAAAUGAGUAGUCAAAGUUCAUCAAAUUAAUAAAGGUUACAAAUAAUUCAUGACACCAAAAAGAAGGAAAAUGUUGGGAGUAAUUACUAACCUGGUAUCCAGUGAUGAAAUUUGGUACUAAUGAUGGUCAUGCAUUCAAAUAUAUGAAGCAAAAGAGGUAUACGAGGAUAGACAACAAGAAAAGGAGUACCAUGAGCUUAGUCCUUUAUUUCACAAAGUUACACUUAAAAAUUUAUAAUCAUUACCAUCAUUUAUUACCGUCUACCAACAUGAUGUGGUAGUCAAAUAUGCGGAAUUUGCUUAUUCUAGGGCGCUCUCACUCUCUGCCGUUAAUAACUGAGCCCAAUAGUGACUCAUUUUCUUUGAUCUUUCAAUAAUCCCAUCUCAAUUUCUUCUUUUCCUUGUAGACUACUAUACCAGAUAAUAGCAACACUUGGAGAAGAAGUGUAUAACAUGAGACCAACCAAUGCACCAGAUUUGAUAUCUUUCACCAAUGAUUUAGAGUUGAAUGUAACCACCAUUUCUAGCAUGAGUUGCUCUCAGUUACGCGGUCCAAACACCAUUGUUUUCGGCACCCCAGGCUCCCUAGAUCAUACCAUACUCCCAUUCUCAAACUUGGCUAACUAUUCGUGCCACAACUCCAGUAGAGGUCCAAUGCUGAAUAUCAGAUGCCAGAACUGUGCACUCACUUUCGAAGCUAUGUACAUUUCAUGGCAAUUUUUUGAUAUCGAAAACAAGUCCCCUGCAACAGCUGUUGGUUUCCAAUUCAAUUUCACAGCAAGAAACCGUGUUCAUGAGCAAGAAUAUGCAAAUUUUGUGAGUGGAACAAUAAAGAAUGGGAUGAAAUUAGAUAAUACAAGCAUCACAUAUAGAGGGGCUGAUGCACAGGUACUGAGAUUUAAUCUGUUUCCAAGGGUGCACCUUAAUCUGCACAGUCUUAAGCUUCUUCAGCCCUCAUUUCAUGGAUUUCGGCCUGGUUCUUUUGCUCGCGAUGAAAACAAACUCCAGUCAUUGCUUCAGAGUCCAAAAGAUGGAUUAAUCAACACUACAUUGGCGCUUCAUUUUCUGUCUGAAUAUCUGACUGAGAUUGAUGAUAAAAAAUAUGGUGGACCAGUGAGUUUUCUAGCGGAUAUUGGUGGCCUUUACUGCGUCAGUAUUACACUAUUUCUUUUGCUCUUGUUUCUGGUACAGUUGCUUUAACUCCUAAGGAUCUUUCCAUACAUUUUUCAUUUCACCUCACUCUUCAGUUCAUUUCUGUGUCAACUUAACUUCACCCCGUUCUUCUCUGGACUGCAUGCUUAGUGUGAAAUGCGCGUCAAAGGACUCCGCACUGAAGAUCAGAUUAUGCAAAACAUUAGGAAGCAAAGAGAUGCUGAGGAUCGUUGGCAUAAGGUGCUAUAUAUAUAUAUCAAUCUUUUUCAUUUCUCCUAUAUAUCUGUUCCCUGAUGUUUUUUUUCAUGGCUCGUUUGGUAGGUGGUAACAAAUAGGGGUUAUCAUAAUGAAUUUACAAGUAAUGUUGUUAAGACAAUCUCGUGUCAAUGUCCAAUUGUCCAUGAUAAUGCUUAUCACAAGUAUCUCAUUUUCGUCAUUAGUUUCUUUUUCCAAUAUUGAGUGUCAUAGGAUAUUUAUGAAGAAAAACAUGUUUGACAAUGAAUUUUCAUUACCUUUGCAUUGACAUGAAACUUUCAUCUCAUGAUCAUACGUGGAUUUAUUAUCAACUACCAAACAGAUCGUGAGGUGUGUAAACUAUUUCCAUGACUAAGACAGAUCUUCUUCAAUAACCUAGUUGCGUAGAUACGUUGCCUAUACUUAUGGUUGCCGCUUACUGGAUGAAGAUUACAAUAGGAAUGAACAGCCAACAUGUUGUUUUAGAAGAAAUGGAUUAUCUAUACACAGAGUUAUACAACGUGAGAUUAACAUUCAGUCUUUUGGAUUCAAGAGACAACUUCAGCCAACCACUGAAAAGGUUCUAAAAGAUGCAUCUACCAGAAAAGGAGUAAAAACCAUCAAAACCUUCACAUCAGAUACCCUUUUGCCAGAGUCGUCUUUACAUGCACUAAAGGUUGGAUUGCCUACGGAUGUAUUGAUUCUGCAAAGGGAACUUCGCGAUGCGUAUGAAUACAAUGCAAAGCUGAGAAACAAGUUGAUUAGUGCUGAGAGUAGGCUUGCUGAUUUAACAGCACACACUGCAUUGGCAAAGCCAAGGGGGCUUUGAAAUCUGUAUUUGCUAGUUGCUAGAAAGUAGAUUUCUUAGAGCCAUGAAAAUGUGUCCGAGUGCAUCUUAAGGGAAGUCGUCCUUAUUUGGUGCAUAUAUUUUGGUUUGGAAAGCUAGAUGUCAUAUAUGGUCAUUAUAAUUAGACACAACUUCUAUCACUUUUUAUUUUGUUACCUACAAAUCUGCUUCUUGAUCUAACAAGCUAAGCGUGAUGAAACAAAAAAGGUUGAUGUUAGGGUAAAAUUUAGUUUAGGCCUAUAGUGUUCUAAUU